GACGAACGCUGGCGGCGUGCUUAACACAUGCAAGUCGAACGGUGAAGCGCCUUCCUUUUUGGUGGGUGUGGAUGAGUGGCGAACGGGUGAGUAACACGUGAGUAACCUGCCCCCUUCUUCUGGAUAACCGCAUGAAAGUGUGGCUAAUACGGGAUAUUCUGGGUCUGUCGCAUGAUGGGUCUGGGAAAGAUAUUGUUUCGGUGGGGGAUGGGCUCGCGGCCUAUCAGCUUGUUGGUGGGGUGAUGGCCUACCAAGGCGGUGACGGGUAGCCGGCCUGAGAGGGUGGACGGUCACACUGGGACUGCGACACGGCCCAGACUCCGACGGGAGGCAGCAGUGGGGAAUAUUGCACAAUGGGCGCAAGCCUGAUGCAGCGACGCCGCGUGAGGGAUGGAGGCCUUCGGGUUGUGAACCUCUUUCGCCAGUGAAGCAGGCCUGCCUCGUUUGUGGGUGGGUUGACGGUAGCUGGAUAAGAAGCGCCGGCUAACUACGUG
rnacentral:rRNA from 1 species